GGAGCCGUCUGAGCGGCCGCCUCUGCCGGGCACAGCGCUGUUAUAGCGAGCUGCCGUGCCGGUCGGCUGCACCGAGCCAAUGGCAGGGAGCCACUGGGCUGAUACCGAGCGCUGUCAGAGGAGGACAUCUGUCACACGCCGCCUUCACCGCCACCCACAGCCUCCGCUGCCCCCGCCGCGGACGGGCCGGCAGCAGGGAAAGGCGGAGGGACGACCACGGCGGUGGGGGGCAGACCGGUCAUCCCGACCGGCGCUGCAGCCCCACAUGGGGGGUGUGCACGGGGGUCCCUGUUCCCACGGAGGGCGCAGGAGUGCGGGUCCUCCGGGGCUUGGGGUUGCUGAGAGAGAGCCCGGGGCUGCGCCGCCCCCAGCCCAAAGCUCCGGCCCCUCCUCCUCCCCCGAGUAGCCUCCGCGCCCCGCCACCGCAUCCUAUUUUAUUUUAUAUACCUAUAUAUAUAUAUUUCUUUUAACGCCUAAGCCAGCGGGCAUCUUAACCUUCCCAGGGCGGAGCAGCACACCCCCCCCCCUCCCCGCCCCGCUCCCGGGCCCGGCUCGGCAGCAGAACCGAUCACGGAUCGCCGCCGCCGUUCCCGCCCGCCGCGUUCGGCUCUUCUGGCCCGUAACUGGGCGAAACGGAUCAUUCCUCACCCCGCCGAGGGCGAGCUCCGUCCCGCCUUUCGCUGCGCUGCCGCCGGUACAGCAGCUCUGCAUCCCGCCGCCGCCCAUCCCCGCCGCAUCCAUCCCGCCCGGCUGUCUUGCAAACCGGGAGCGUGCUGGCAAAACUUCUAGGUCACGGCGGGUUUGGGGUGAGGAGGGGAGGAGUCGCGGAGAAAAACUGCGGCUGCAUCCCUCCAGGUGCCCGCCGCCGCUUACCCACCGACCGAGCGAAGGGCCGAGCACCGACCGGGCACCGACCGGCUCCCGCGGUUACUCACAGCUUCCCCGGCCUCGCAGGGCCUCGGCGGCCGCGGGAAAAACGGAAACCACCGCGGUUUGCUGCAGGCUCCUGCGCUGCGGUCCUCGCCCUCAGCCUUAAUGUACUCGCUCCGUUUUAUGAAGCCCCGAGCAAACUGGGGGAUGAAAACCAUUAGAUACAUCAGCAUAAGGCAACUGUAAUACAUACCGUGCCCCUUCCCCAUCCUAAGUGUUCCUUUCUCUUUGCAGCAUGCAAACCAGAACUUGCUGCCAGAACCAGAAUUUGUCGGAAACGUGUUUAAUAAAGAUGCUCAAGUCCCUUCCCCCCCACACA
rnacentral:lncRNA from 1 species